GCUUCCCAAGGCUACUUGGCUGCACCAAGAAGAACCCUGCUGGCUUUGUCAGAUUUCCCUUGUCUUCUGUAAGAUCUUCAGGGCAGUGCAGAGCCAUUACUUUGUAAGUGUUUGGGAAAUUUCCGUUACUGUUUGGGAAAAGGGACUUCUCCAGAGUGAAGGGGACCUGACUUGAAGCAAGAGACGAGAAGCAAAACCUCUGUGUCAACACCCCAGAGACCAUCUAGAGACUCAGCUUUACUUAUGAAGACAGGAAAGAAAUGCAAAUAAUUGAGAGUCCAUGAAGCCAACAUGUGUGUGCUCCUGCAGCAACACUCAGUCCUCAUCCUGCCCAGCACUUUGGUAUUCAAAUUUGUCACCUCAGAAAGCUGUGGUUCUGCUGAGACCCUCUGGUCCCCCGACAGCAGCAGGAUAUUGAAGGAUUUGAGCUGUGAUCUCCAAGCAGCCACAACCCCCUGCUCUAACCCCUUUCAUUUCCACCCCAGACACGGCUCCUUCAGCCCUACAUUUCCUCCAGGGAUGUGCAAAGAACACACAGAGGUUGGAGUUGCUGCUGUGUGAGAAAGAGACCCAGGUUCUGUGCAAGGUGGUGCUCACACUUGUGCUAGAGCCAUCCUUUGGUG